UACGGAGGGUGCGAGCGUUGUCCGGAAUCACUGGGCGUAAAGGGCGCGUAGGCGGCCUGAUAAGUAGGGGGGUGAAAAUCCUGCGGCUUAACCGCAGGGCUGCCUUCUAAACUGUCAGGCUCGAGCACAGUAGAGGCAGGUGGAAUUCCCCGGUGUAGCGGUGGAAUGCGUAGAGAUCGGGAAGAACAUCAGUGGCGAAGGCGGCCUGCUGGGGCUGUUGC
rnacentral:rRNA from 1 species